UUCAGGCUUGCAAGGGCAGCUCAUCAUAGAAGGCAGCAGCCUUAACUGGAGUGAGGAUGGAAGACACUGGAGGGGAAGAAAACAGCUCUGGAGGAGAAACAGACUUACUUCCCUUACCCAAGUGGAGGAGGUGUGUGAGGAAAAGCUGCAGGGGUGGAUGGCAGGGUCCAGGCAAGAACGGAAGCCCAGAGUUCCAGCACCACAGAUGCCUCCUAGAGGACAAGAAUAAACCCCUAGCACGUGGGGUAGAUGGCAGAGCAGCUCUCCCUGGCUUCUCACAGGAAUCUAAAGAUGGGCUCCUUGGCUGUGUGCUAAAUGUUUUCACUGGAGAGAGGCCCUGUGUGGCUAACUCAGUUCCUCCAACCCUGAGAUAGUCCCUUGCUCUGACCUUGACCUGAAUGUUUGGCAAAGCUGUGAAAUGAAAGGCAAGAAUAGAAAAACAAGCAAAGAAAAUGAAAAGAAAACAUGCAUUCAGGGUAACCCCGUGAGGUGCUCAGGUGUCUGAUCAUCAAGUUUCCGUUGCAGUUGGGCCCCAGCAUACAGAGCAGCAACCUGACAUCCUUCUCAAAAGGAAUCUCAUUAUUAUUAUUAUUUGAAUAUGAAGCAUAAACAUAAGCAAUCAUUCUGGUGGAGGCUGAUUGGGGUUUUCAUCCUAUAGGGCUCGUGAAUAUUAAUUUCAUUUGUAGGUAGAAGUGUUAGAUUUAGAAAGAUCAGAAAUGGGUAAGAAUAAACAAAACCCCUACUUGUGUGACUCUUUGGGGGAAUUGUAUGGCAGCUUCCUACUACAUGUCCUACUACCAGUCACCAAGGAAACCAUGUAUAGGUGGACAGCUGGCUGAUUUUGUUUUUUAUUCAGUCAUUAUCAGUCAAUGAAUAGCUGCAGUACUUGCUCUGGGCUAUGGACAAGUAACCUACACACUUUGUCCAUCAUCUGGGAACUUAGGAAGUCUAGGGAAGAUUAAAAAGAAAAAGUAUAUGAACUUGAGACUCAGACAUGCUGGGGCUGAUCAGGCUGGGGUCAUGGGCAUCUCUGCCUGAGUUGCUUUGCAUGGUGGGGAAAGAGCCAGUGAGGGCAAGGUUUGUGGUCAGCACUUGUGGGGAGCUUAGGAUACAGGAGGGACAAAGAGGUUGAAUUGGUGAAGGGUGGCAGAAUGUGCCAUUCCCAAAUCUGCCAUUUUGACACAAGGAUUACAUAGAGCUAAAGGAACUUGAAAAACAGCAGAUGCAAGAAGGGCCUUCUAAUCUUCCUCCUUUCUUCUUGAAAACAGGAGAUAAAGACUCCCAUGUGAAAGGUGCCCUCCCUGUACCAGGAGAAAGGAAACAUUUUUUGAUGAGGAGUCAUAGCCAAGAGAAUUCUGCACAAACAGACCUUGUUCAAAACAAUUCUUAUCUUCCUUGAGCCUCUGUGUAUAAUUUUGUUAUUUUUGCACUCUUCUCUCUCUUUGUUCUGUCUAAUACAAAAGUAUGUAGGUUUGCCUUUUCUUUAGGUCUUCAUUUCCGGAUGAGUUUAUAGUGUCACGGAAAACAUGUUAGAUCUGUA